rnacentral:rRNA from 1 species
GACGAACGCUGGCGGCGUGCUUAACACAUGCAAGUCGUACGGUAAGGCCCUUUCGGGGGUACACGAGUGGCGAACGGGUGAGUAACACGUGAGUAACCUGCCCACAACUUUGGGAUAACGCUAGGAAACUGGUGCUAAUACUGGAUAUGUGCUCCUGCUGCAUGGUGGGGGUUGGAAAGCUCCGGCGGUUGUGGAUGGACUCGCGGCCUAUCAGCUUGUUGGUGGGGUAGUGGCCUACCAAGGCGGCGACGGGUAGCCGGCCUGAGAGGGUGACCGGCCACAUUGGGACUGAGGUACGGCACAGACUGCUAAGGGAGGCAGCAGGGGGGAAGAUUGAACAAUGGGCGCAAGCCGGAUGCAGAAAGGCCGCGUGCGGGAUGACGGCCUUCGGGUUGUAAACCGCUUUCAGCAGGGACGAAGCUUUUUGUGACGGUACCUGCAGAAGAAGCACCGGCUAACUACGUG